UUGUGGGCUGAGGGUGGGGGGAAGGGAGGAAAGGGAGGGAAGAGGGUGAUGUCUAUUGGGAGUGGCUAGGCACUGGGAGGGAACCCAUGCUGAGGAAGGCUGCAGGGUAGAUGGAAACUGAAAUCUAUUCCCCUUAGUCAGGCCCCACUCUGAAAGAAUUCUUGUAGUGGCCUUGGGAACUCAAUUUUGGGACACCAGUCCAGCUUGCUGGAGUUCAAGUAGAGACUACUAAGACCCAACUCCUCCCCAACAACAACAACAAUAAAAUCCAUCUAGUCCCUGUGAAAAUGGCUACUGAGAAAGUUCAUCUAUCUCCCUUUUCAGUAAGAGUGCUUCUUCUCCCUAAUCUCCAAGACUCAACAAAUAUUUACUAAGUUAUUAUGUACAGAGCUCUGAACUAAGUAUAUAGUUUAUAAGUACAGAGACAAAACUGAAACUACUCUUCCCUUCAAGGAACUUCCCUGGCUAGAAGGGAGAGGGAGAAGUGACAGUUGCACAGAUAAGUACAAGUUUGGGAAUCAAGGGGUCCAAGAUGAAAUCUAGACAAAAUACACAGAGAAUAUUUUGGGAGAGAAGAGUUAGAUCUCAGAAGACUACAUGGAAGAGUUGGUUUGAAAGAAAAUAAGUCUUCUGGAAGAGUCGACUGGAGAGAAAAUUCAUUCCAGAUAUGGGGAAGGACGGUGGUGGAUGCAUUCCAGGUAAAUGUCUGAAUGUAGGAGAUGAAUUCAAUGUGGGCAUGAAAUCAGGGAACAGAUAAUAAUAGUCCAGUAUGGCUAGAAUGUUGAGUAUAGAAAAGGGAGAGAUGGGAAAUGAGGAUAGAAAGAUAGAUUGAAGAGAGAUUAUAAAGGUCCUUCUAGAAGCUACAAAAAGCCUCUAGGAGAUUUUUGUGUAGAUGAAUGACACAGCUAUUCUCAAACCUUGAGAAGGGUGAAGGAUGGAUUGAAAAGGGAAGAGUCUGGAUUUAGGGAAAACAAUCAGAAGGUUCUUGCAAUAAUCUUGGUAAGUGAUAAUAACGAGGUCCUGAACUAGAGUGGUGGCCAUGGAAGUUGAAAUGGGAGUAGAGACAAAAGAUAUUGUGAAUAAAGAAUCUACAAGACUUGAUAAAUGAUUAAAUAUGGGAGUUCAAGCAACUCAGGUAGUGGUGCCCUCCACAGAAAUGAGGAAUUUUAGAGAAGGGAGGGGCAGGUUUGGGAGUAUAAUGAUGAGUUCCAUUUUAGACAUAUUGAAUUUGCGGUACCAGCAGGCAGUUGGUGAUAAAAGGACCAGCAUUUAGAAAAGAGAUUAGGGUUGGAAAUAUAGAUUAGGGGUCACCUGCAUAGUGGUAAAAAUUGAAAGUACUAGAAGUUAUGGAACUCGCCAAGGGAAUGUGGAGAGUGAAGAGGAAAAAGGACCAGGAAGGAACUUUGAGAGACACCCACACUCAGGGACUGAAAGAUGGAUGGUGAACCAGGAAAGCAGACAGAGAAACAGCCUGAUAGGCAGGAAAACUAGGAGAAAGAAGAGUAUCCAGGUUGAAGGGUUAACAGUAUCAAAAGUGUAGAUGUCAAAGAUGUGGAGGACUGAGAUAAGGCCCUUGGAUUUGGCAGUAAAGAUCAUCUAUGGCCUUGGGAGGUGGUUUCAGUAGAAACUGAUUAGAAGGGAGAUUUGCAGGGAUAGAGAAGCAGAUAUGUGGUGAGGAAGUAGAAGCUGAGAGUGUAGCUAACUUUCUAGGAGUUGAACAGGAAGAGAAAGAUAUAGGAAAAUGCCCUAAGGAGAUAGAAAGGUCACAUAAAGGUUUCCUAGCUUCCUCCUUUGGGCACACAGCCACCAUCACCCAAACUAGAGCCCAGUCAUGAGGAUUAGGUUUAAUAUUACUGUACUUUGCAGUCCAAAGGUCCUUUCUCUCACAGUGCCUGAUUCAAAAAAGGAACUAAGAAAAUAAUCCCUGGUAUUUAAAAUCCUCUGUAAUCUUUCAUUCCCCCAAAAGGUGCAAGAAUCAACAAGAAGAAAUUUCAGUCUAGACCUGCUUCUCCCCAAAUUUAAGGUGGACAAAGAAAUGAAUCUUUAUGCCUCCAGGCAGGCCCCAGUCAGAUGACCAUCCCACCCCACCAAAUGCCUGAGGAACUAACACUCACUCUAGUCUUGUCCACACCAGGACCUAGCAUCUAAAGUGUAUAUAAACCCCAGAACUGAUGUCAUCCGGGGGACAGCCUCUCCAUCCAUGCUGUCCCCAUGGAGGAACAGCCUUUCCUUUCAUGCUGUCCUCCCAGGGAACUGCUCCCCACAAUGCUGUUCUACCUUGCUAUCCUCCUGGCCACUCUCAACAUUACUUUCUAAAUUAAUAAAUCUCUUUUUGUUUUUAAGUGAA